rnacentral:rRNA from 1 species
UGGGGAAUAUUGCACAAUGGGGGAAACCCUGAUGCAGCGACGCCGCGUGAACGAAGAAGGUAUUCGUAUCGUAAAGUUCUGUCCUAUGGGAAGAUAAUGACAGUACCAUAGAAGAAAGCUCCGGCUAAAUACGCGCCAGCAGCCGCGGUAAUACGUAUGGAGCGAGCGUUGUCCGGAAUUAUUGGGCGUAAAGGGUACGCAGGCGGUUUAAUAAGUCGAAUGUUAAAGAUCGGGGCUCAACCCCGCAAAGCAUUGGAAACUGAUAAACUUGAGUAGUGGAGAGGAAAGUGGAAUUCCUAGUGUAGUGGUGAAAUACGUAGAUAUUAGGAGGAAUACCAGUAGCGAAGGCGACUUUCUGGACACAAACUGACGCUGAGGUACGAAAGCGUGGGGAGCAAACAGG